GAUGAAGAACGUAGCGAAAUGCGAUAAGUAAUGUGAAUUGCAGAAUUCAGUGAAUCAUCGAAUCUUUGAACGCACAUUGCGCCCGCCAGUAUUCUGGCGGGCAUGCCUGUUCGAGCGUCAUUACAACCCUCAGGCCUCCGGGCCUGGCGUUGGGGAUCGGCGGAGCCCCCCGUGGGCACACGCCGUCCCCCAAAUACAGUGGCGGUCCCGCCGCAGCUUCUGUUGCGUAGUAGCUAACACCUCGCAACUGGAGAGCGGCGCGGCCACGCCGUAAAACACCCAACUUCUGAAUGUUGACCUCGAAUCAGGUAGGAAUACCCGCUGAACUUAAGCAUAUCAAUAAGCGGAGGA
rnacentral:misc_RNA from 1 species